UCCUACGGGAGGCAGCAGUGGGGAAUCUUGGACAAUGGGCGCAAGCCUGAUGCAGCAACGCCGCGUGCGGGAUGACGGCCUUCGGGUUGUAAACCGCUUUCGCCUGUGACGAAGCGUGAGUGACGGUAGUGGGUAAAGAAGCACCGGCUAACUACGUGCCAGCAGCCGCGGUGAUACGUAGGGUGCGAGCGUUGUCCGGAUUUAUUGGGCGUAAAGGGCUCGUAGGUGGUUGAUCGCGUCGGAAGUGUAAUCUUGGGGCUUAACCCUGAGCGUGCUUUCGAUACGGGUUGACUUGAGGAAGGUAGGGGAGAAUGGAAUUCCUGGUGGAGCGGUGGAAUGCGCAGAUAUCAGGAGGAACACCAGUGGCGAAGGCGGUUCUCUGGGCCUUUCCUGACGCUGAGGAGCGAAAGCGUGGGGAGCGAACAGGCUUAGAUACCCUGGUAGUCCACGCUGUAAACGGUGGGUACUAGGUGUGGGGUCCAUUCCACGGGUUCCGCGCCGUAGCUAACGCUUUAAGUACCCCGCCUGGGGAGUACGGCCGCAAGGCUAAAACUCAAAUGAAUUGAC
rnacentral:rRNA from 1 species